rnacentral:lncRNA from 1 species
CAUGUGCUGCAAUCUCUAAACUUAACUUUUUACUUUUUAUCUUUUUUCUUUUUUAAUAGCACUAGUAUCUUCCACCAAGUAUUUCCCUUCUACUCGUCCAUUCAAUUAUUCCAUAUCUUCCCUCCCAUCAACACCUUUGCAUGAAUUAUGGUUUACAUUAUCCUCUUUAGUGUUAGGAUCAAGAUCAUAAUUGAUAAUAUUAACAAGUUC